AUUGAACGCUGGCGGCAGGCCUAACACAUGCAAGUCGAGCGGAGCGGCGGACGGGUGCGUAAUGCCUAGGAAUCUGCCUGGUAGUGGGGGAUAACGUCCGGAAACGGGCGCUAAUACCGCAUAAUAUCAGCUGAGCCUAGGUCUGAUUAGCUAGUUGGUGGGGUAACGGCCUACCAAGGCGACGAUCCGUAACUGGUCUGCGAGGAUGAUAAGGCACACUGGAACUGCGACUCGGUCCAGAUUCCUACGGUAGGGAGAAGUGGGGAAUAUUGGACAAUGGGAGAAAGCCUGAUGCAGCCAUGCCGCGUGUGUGAAGAAGGUCUUCGGAUUGGAAAGCACUUUAAGUUGGGAGGCGUUACCAACAGAAUAAGCACCGGCUAAGUUCGUGCCAGCAGCCGCGGUAAUUC
rnacentral:rRNA from 1 species